AAAUCAAAUUUUGAAGAACGAGUACAGAUCAGUAUUAGUAUCGAUGUAAACACACAUUGGUAGCAGACUGGGUGCGAUAUGUUUCAAUUCACAGCUUCUAGCCAGAAUGCAGCACACGACAGAGUUACAUGACUUACUCGUCUCUCAAAAACAUUUAUCUGACUCUGCCAUUGAUGGAUUCAGUGAUCUAGCUUCUAGAACUGUCUGGGAAAGACAAUUCUGCAGACUAUUGACCUUCUCAGAGAGAAAGCGAGACAGAAACUGCUUCUCCUCUCCAUUGUAAAAGGGAAACACUUUUAUUGUUUCUUUUGUUUCUCAUUAAACAUUCAUAUGUCACUAAUUUCAGUCUACAAUUUGUGUAGAACCACUGUACAUUAAUGUGUGCUCAAAAGACUUUAAAUAACUUGUGUAUUUUGCGUGUGACUGCUGUCAAUGUUUAACAUGAGCCAAAAGGACCUUGGAAAUGGUGAAACUUUUACAGUUACCAUAUGCGAAAAUGAUAGACUUUUGCAAAAUAGCAAAGAGGAAAACUGUUACAAGUAGAAUGAGCAUUCUCCCAAUAUCUAGGAAUUGGGGUGUCAAACAGAAUAAUGUUCCUUUUCGUCAAUCUUCCUUACAGUACUGACUCAGGUUUUGUCAUUCUCUCAUUUUUGAUGAGUCAUUAUUGAAUUUGAAAGCACCAAAUUUAUGUUGAUAAAUAUCAUUUAUUACAUAAUUAAUUUUCCCUUCACGUGCUGUAGAUUUUUGAUAGCCUACAGCAGAAUCUGAUACCUUAACUCUGAGAUUAUGAUCUCCCAUUCUCUAGCAGAUUAAAAGCUGGAAGCUUGCUCUCAAUGCCUAAUGAAGCCUGAUGCUGAAACAUUUAUAGGGUCAACCGUGCAUGACAUGGAAAGGUACAACUGUUAUUUUGCAACAUUUUUGUCACUCCAUGCUCAGAUCACAAAUUUUACCCUAUUUUGUCUGUAUGCAUGAAGAAAUAACUCGCAUCGAUAAAGCAUCUUUCGUAGCCUUAGGAUGUCCCAGAGUGGCAAUAAAGUAUUUUUUGACAUGAGUGAUUGCUAUAGUGUGGGAGUCUUGGCAGCCAAUUUCCACCACGUAAGGUUUCGCAAACAAUAAAAAAUUGACCAGAUUAUGAAUUGUAUUCUGCUGUACAGAUGACAAUGAACCUAUCAGUGUACGUUAAAUUCGUGCACUUGUUAGUGUUUGGGAACAUAGUCUGUAUCGUCAACUGUAAAUAAUUUUCUCAUUGCAAAAAUCGUGAAUAGAGUGUCAUUUGGCCCAGCAAAUAUGGAAUCUACAAUGUCAUAAUUGACUUCUGAUCUGAAGUAACCUUGGUGUGUAUUCAUUAUAAAUCACGCAAUGUCUAUAACACAUACUGUUUGUAGUAUUUUAAAUUUGUUAAGGUAAUGGUCACUUCCAACAUUUUAUUAUUAUAGCUGACAUAUUUCAUGAACUAAAAGUUGUUAAUGAAAAGGACAAAUGGUGACCUAAUAUGGCUUCUGUGAUCAUGAUACCAACAAUCAGCGUGGAUUAAUCUGAGCUGAAAUUUAAUUCAUUAUCGAAAGCACUGCAAACAGAUCUAUAUCUUCUGGCUGAUUCAUAAAUUUCUGGAAAUUGUGCAUUGGGACUAAAGACAUCUGCAGAUCGUCAAACCUGAAAAAAAUCAAUGACAUUUGGCAGCAAAAUCCACAAAGAAGUGGUAUGUCAGGCAAUAGAUUUUGAGCAGCAAAACGGAGAGGAAAAAAAUGAGCUGAUAACAAGGAGAAACUGGAAGCUUGUCUCUCCCUGUCCCUGUCAACCUCAAAGUCAGGACCGUGUGAGAAGUAAUUUCAGACAGCAACUAUUCAAUAACACAGGAUAUCUGCAAACAUAUCUGAUGAUCGAACACCAGCUAAAUAGUAAGGACGCUAGUGAUGUUCACAAAUUAAGAACUCUUAAGAACUUUUAACUGCAAUUGUUUUUAUCUUCCUGUCUAUACUAGGCAGCCUCCACAAAUCUUUUUCAACUUAAUGCCUGUGUCUGGUUGUGCAUGCUUGAUGUUACAUUUGCAUUUUUUUUCAACUGGGUAAUAAAAUUCGUCCUUCUUUCAUUCAA